GGCCGUACCAUGCUGAAUAUACCGGUUCUCGUUAGAUUACCGAAGUCAAGCAUCAUUGGGCGCGGUCAAUACUUGGGUGGGUGACCCCCUGGGAACACCGCGUGCCGUU
rnacentral:rRNA from 1 species